ensembl:lncRNA
CUUCUGUGAGCGAAUAAACCAGACACGCAACUGAAACUGAACCAACCUCUGGGGAAGACGCUCUGAAAAGUGUGUCAGCAUCGGUUCAGUAAAAAAAGAAAAAGAACAAGAGGAACAAAAUUAAUCAGGUUAAUCACAGGCGCACACACACAGGCGCACACACAGGCGCACACACAGGCGCACACACAGGCGCACACACACAGGCGCACACACACAGGCGCACACACACAGGCGCACACACACAGGCGCACACACACAGGCGCACACACACAGGCGCACACACACACACAGGCACACACACACACAGGCACACACACACACAGGCACACACACACACAGGCACACACACACACAGGCACACACACACACAGGCACACACACACACAGACAGAGAAAGAGAGACAGCGAGAGAGGGUGACAGAGAGAGAGAGACAGACAGACAGGGCGACAGAGAGAGAUAGACAGAAAGAGAGAGAGAGGGUGACAGAGAGAGAGAGACAAACAGAAAGAGAGACAGAGAGAGCGAGCGAGAGAAGUUCAUGUUUCUCUUCUUGGAUACUGUCAUAGCAGUUAGACAGGUGUUCAUUAAGGAAGGACUAAUGAAGCCACUUAAAGCAUGUGUGAUAUGUUUCAGGUGCGCCUGUCAGAACAUCUGGACUUUUAAAAACAUCUGGAAAGAGAGUUAGAAGAUCCCAAAGGGGGGUAGAAGAACUGAAGUUCAUCUGCAUGCGACGUACACAGAGGCGCUGGUUAACACCCCAAGGCCUUUCCUCUUUCCAACCCCCCUCCACACACACACACACACACACACACACACACACACACACCAUACGCACGCACACAUGUACGCACACCCCGCUGAGAGACAAGGCCAGCUUUGAUUUCCCACAACAACAAAGGCAGCUUUCAGCGACGCUUUUCACAGCUUACAAAAGGAGAAACUCUACACACACUAAAGACCCACACUAGCUGAAAUGUACCAUGCCACACAAUAAGUUCUGCUUUUC